rnacentral:lncRNA from 1 species
CUGUUUCGCAUCGCUGAUUAAAAGAAGGCACAGCCCCUGAAAACCCUAGACAUUUCAGCCGAAAAAAUGGGGAGAGGGGAACCCUAAAGGUUCUGCGCUGUUUGGCCAUCAUUUCAUCACUACAACGAUGACUGAUGUCCUUCGGUAACCCCCCUUUUCGUUCUUCCGUUCACUCUAGCGUGGAGUUCGUCGAUUUAAGCCUCGAAAUCCCAUCUCUGACUUUGAUUUCAGCGAAGGAGACGAGGUCUCCGAUGGCUCGUAUGCGAAGGUAAGUCCUUUCCCCUUCCCUUUAUUUGCUUUCAAAUAAAAAAUGACACAAAACAAAGAACAAUCAAAAAAGGAAUGCCCACAAAUCGAAAUCGAAAAAUCACCUUCGAAUAUCGGUGGCCUUUUCUUUGUAUUUUGAUAUGCGGAUAGUGUUUUUUUUGUAUUGCCUAUUGCGCUUUCGUAACCCUUACAAAGAUUAAAGACUAUGGCUUUAUAGCCAAAAAAAUCAAAAGAGAAAAAUACAAAAAAAUUCCUAUUAGAUGCCAUUCUCGCUGCUGUUUUUUGUUUCCUUUCGCAGGUACAGGUGCGUGGUGUGUGUACGAGGCUGUACUGGCGUACGAGGGCUGUUGGCGUGGAGGCACGAGCGGCGUUGGGGCUGUACAGCGGCUGAAGGCUGCGGCGCGAAGAGAGAGAACCCUAGGGUUCUAAAGUUGUAAUUAAUUUUUUUUGGGCCUAUCAGGCCUGUAUUUGGGUCUUGGGUCAUUGGGGUCAAUUUGGUUUUAGGAUAUUUGAUUUUGGGUUGUAAUUGGACAGAUAAUGGACUGUUAUAAUUUAUUUGGGUUUUAGGUUUAUGGUUUUUUUGGUUUAUUUAUUUAUUUUGUAUAUAUUUUGGUUUCUAGUGGGCCCGGGUAAAUUGGCCCAUUUACACAUAGUAUUCACCAAAUACCAUAUACAUCAUAGAUAAUUACAUAUCAAGGCAUUUCUCAUAAGUUUAGUGUACAUACUUGUACAACUUGUAACAUAACUCAAGUACAUACUCACCAAUGACUUACAUCGUUGGAACCAUUAUCAACUCUUUC